CAGCCGCUAACUGCUCUGGCCCCGGGGCCAGCUCUCCAGCUGAAUCUGUGUCCAGGAAUGGAACCAAAGUCUCGGUCAAAGUCUCAGUCGAUUCCUGAGGCGGAGCUGACAUCUGGGAGGAAGCAGAGGACCCCAGGUGAGGAAGCCAUGGUUUAAAGCAGAGAUCACCAACUGCUGGACCACAGACCUGCACGAGUUCACGGCCUGUUAGGAACCGAGCCACACAGCAGGAGCACAUGCUCCUCUGCAGAAAGUGAUGGGGCUGCCUUGCCAGCUGGAGCCUGAAACUGUGCCCAGGUAGACAGAACUGCGAGUCCCAGGACAGCCUGGGAAGUGUUGGCUGCCUGGUAAUGGAAGAAUGUCCAGGAUGGAAAACAAGAGGCUGGAUCUGCAAAUGACAUUGUGCCAGCAGGACCAUCAAAUGUAGCUGUCUAGCCAGCAGCUGGAUACAUGGACCGACAGCUCAGAAAGGAGCUCAGUGCUAAAC
rnacentral:lncRNA from 1 species